rnacentral:rRNA from 1 species
UGUCUGGGAAACUGCCUGAUGGAGGGGGAUAACUACUGGAAACGGUAGCUAAUACCGCAUAACGUCGCAAGACCAAAGAGGGGGACCUUCGGGCCUCUUGCCAUCGGAUGUGCCCAGAUGGGAUUAGCUAGUAGGUGGGGUAACGGCUCACCUAGGCGACGAUCCCUAGCUGGUCUGAGAGGAUGACCAGCCACGCUGGAACUGAGACACGGUCCAGACUCCUACGGGAGGCAGCAGUGGGGAAUAUUGCACAAUGGGCGCAAGCCUGAUGCAGCCAUGCCGCGUGUAUGAAGAAGGCCUUCGGGUUGUAAAGUACUUUCAGCGGGGAGGAAGGGAGUAAAGUUAAUACCUUUGCUCAUUGACGUUACCCGCAGAAGAAGCACCGGCUAACUCCGUG